UGGUGGAGUGAUUUGUCUGGUUAAUUCCGUUAACGAACGGGACCUUAACCUGCUAAAUAGUUACGCAUAACUUCGGUUAGGCGGGCAACUUCUUAGAGGGACUUUGUGUGUCUAACGCAAGGAAGUUUGAGGCAAUAACA
rnacentral:rRNA from 1 species